ensembl:lncRNA
CAUACAUGCAAAAAUAUUUAGUUUAUUCAAGCUUUUAAAAUGUGUUUAUUUUUAUGUUUUUAUCUUUAUGAAAACUUUUGUUGCCUUAAAAGCUGCAAAAUGAAUCAUAGUUUAAAACUCUGAUAGUGUUUUUUGUGUUUAUGAUGGUAAAGUGGAGAUAUAUGUCUUGGUAAGAAAUUAAUUAGUUUAAGAGGAUCCUCUGUUGAUCCUCUGUUGGUGAGAGAUAACUUUUUGAUCAGUGUUGAUUUUUUAAAUCAGCAGCUUUUUGUGUUUUUUUUUUAUCAAACACUCAAAUACAAACUGAAUUCUAAUUAUUUAAUUAACUAAUCAUAAAAAUAAGUGCCUGUUGAUUUUAUUUGCAUAUUUGUUUAUUGUGAUAAAAUAAACUAAAAAUAAAAGUCUUGCUUUCAAGACUUAUCAAUGCAAUCCUAAAAGAAUAUGGUACAGUUAUGUAAAGGUUCUGUGACAUAUACUUGACAGUGACUUGAACUUCAGUGAAAAGUGUUUAUUUUAAGGAUUGUUCUUUUUUUUUAAUAUAUAUAUAAAAUGUGUCUCUAUUUUUGCUUUAGAUGAUGCAGCAGAUAAUUAUGAUGAUGUCCUCAGUGUUGAUCAGAAGUCAGCUGAUGUAACAGAAGACGUGUCAGAUAACUAUGAUGAUGCUGUUCCCACUGAACCAAACUCCACCGUUAUGACCAGGGAAACACCAGUGGACUAUGAUGAUGUCAUUACUGCUGAACAGGACGUGGGAGGAGUUAAAGGUGAGGGGCGGAGCUUGUAUUCACUGCUACAUUACAGACGUGUGGAGGGGUUUAAGUGAUUUUAUUGACAUA